GUGUGCUCUGCUGCACAGCCACGGUAGUGUGAGCUGAGUGAUGCUCGCUGGCUGUCUCUCUCUCUUUCUCUCUCUCUCUCUCUCCCCUGUGCUGUGCCUCUUUCUGCCGAGCAUUGAUGAACCAUUUUAUGCUACAGAGCUGCCAUAGCCAUCGCACCGGUCCUGCUGCUGGCUGCUUUUUUGCCCUUCCAUUGUAGGAGGAAACAACUGCCACUGCAUUGGUCCUCUCUCUCCAGUGCUGCUAAGGAUCCUUUUGCUGCUGCUGCUGCUGUUGCUGUUACUGCCGCUGCUGCUGCUGCUGCUGCUGGGGAGAUAAGGAUGAUCAUCAUAACAUGUCUUAGCGUCUCAGACUCUUAGCGGCUACGGUAUGGAUGUUUCUGCUGCCUCCCAAGGUCACUCAUUUGAGGAGUUUCCAUAAUUAGGGCUGUCAGUCUGGACCCCACACCACAAUAUGAGCGAGUACUCUGGCGACAAACUCCAUUCAUGCCGUGGCUCCUCCUGCCCACCUUGACAAGCAGACGCGGCCAUUCAUCAUUUCGCUGGUUAUCCCUGAG